UAAAUCAUAAAAUUAAAUUAAAAUUUUCAGCUUUCCUCUUUGACUUCACUUUCCUCUUUCACACUUCCCUCUUUCACUGAAGAACAAAAGAGAUGAUGAACUAGCUGAUGAAGAGAAUUUAAGAGAGCUGAAUAACGGAUUUCUUCUCCAAUAUAGAUUUGUGAGACAAACACAUUGAAGAGUUGAAGUCAUCAAAGAACUAAGCAGAAAAGUUGAAGAGUUGAAGUCAUCGGAGAACUGAUAGUUCAAGUGUUCUUCUGCCAUAACGAUUUCUUGAAGAGAAUUCAAUACUUUGGGGUUGUUGGCAAGAUGAUGAAAUGAAGCUAAUUAGUCUCUCCGUCAUGCUUUUCUGCCCAAUAUCUCAGUGAAGAACACAAUUUCAGAGUAAUUUUGUUGGAAUAUGGUUAAUCAUAUCAGUUUUCCCAAGCUCUGUUCGUGAGUCUGAGAUUAUGUAAAGAAUUCUCAUCUAUCAUUAGUGUUCAUGUUUCACAGUGAAAAUUGCUUCUCUCCCCGUCCCUUUCUAGUUCAUUUCCCGAAGAAAGAAUGAGAACUACAACAAAUCGAUAGAGAUGGAGUGGGGGAACUAGUGAUCCAUACAUACCUUCCAUCUUUCAAAUGGACAUGACUGAAGCUUCAAGUUUUAGGGCUCAUGUCGCUUCAACAAAUGGUACAUAUCGAUGCAUCGCCCAAAUCUUGUAUUUUUCCCCUUGGUGAUUUUUUAAUUAUUAUUCUGUACAAUGUAUAUAUUUCCCAGGGAAGUCUAGUGUAUUCCCCCUUCCCAUUGGAUGGAUCAAUAUCUAAAUCCUCUGCCUCUUUAAGGUUGUGAGUGACGUCGAUAUCCAACAUUACAGUUAUGCAAAGCAGGCAUGUGAUGACCUUGGGUGAUUAGCAGUUCCUAGUCCAUGUUUAAAAACUACUAGUGGAUUUCUUUGAGCAAGAGUAGUUAUCUGUACACAAUAGCAAUUCCAAAAUAUCAAUCAUUCUCAAUCUUAUUCUUAAACUCUUCCUCGUGUAUUGUGUGGAUUUUCGUCCUCAAACAAGAGGCUUAUUCAAGCUUGAACGACCUUCUUCCAAAUUGACAAUAGGAUUAUUUUACAUUGAUGAUUGAUGCAAUUGUUCAACAACCAAAAAUUUGACAAUGCUAUUACAAAAAAGUUAUAGCAUGGUGAAAUACUUCUUUUUGAGCCUUCUAUGAAUUUCGUCAAUGAAACACUUCAUAAAGAAAAGAACAAACACACCACAGUCAUAAUCAUUUCUUUGUUGUUUGACUUGUUACUAGAACAUUUUAAGCAAAGUGGAACGUGCAGACACAGUCACAUUAUAUGUAGACAACUUUGCUUCAAUACGUUUCAUAAAUUUCUCAAAUGAAAUAUCCAAAACUGAGUCUAUGUUUUAGACACGCUAUCCAGAUCAUUAUAAGUUUUAUCAGGAUAUCAUAAGUUUCAAAUUAAAGAAUACCUAACUAAUAUUUUCAUCAAUUCUUCGUGGAAGAUUAUCCAAUAUUUUGUCUGCAAUAGGAAGAGAUGACUCUUCUCUUUUUCAUAAGAAUUUCCAUUCUUUUACCAAAAUAAUGCAUGUUUGAAGUACUGUCCUCACUAAGUCUUAUAUUGUAUUCUUGAAGAAUUUUCAGCUUCGAACCUUGUUCUCUAAAACUGUUGUCAAAACCACAUUUUAGGUGUGGGUUCAGAUGAAUCUAAUAGCCUUUGCUAGGACUUUAUUCUUAUUAGGAAAUUGAAGAUAUGUAAAAAAAAAUUAGUUUGGAAUCCAAUUACCAAGAAAAGUUAUGGGCUCAGUGAGUAUGAAAUUGGGGAGGAAGUGGGUUGAGGUCAAAUUUGGGUAUACUUUUUAUGCUAUUGUUAAGAAAGUGUGGUGUAGGGUUAGAAAGUUUUUGGUCGACGGCGUAUUGAAUUACCUACAAAAAUAAAUGUUGAAUUACUUGGUGGGAAAUAUUGGUCAAUUUUAUGAGUCCACUUUCUUUCAUUUAUGUUAUGUUAGGUUUUUAGAUUUGUUUACUCUGUUUGUCAUGCACACCAUUAGAUUUAUGAGCCCAUAUUCUGCAGUAGAUUAUCUUUUUUAUUUUCUACUAAUAUUUAUUUUAUAUUUAGAUGGAGUUGAACACUUUGUGGUUGUUGAAAUUAAAUAAACUACAACUUAGGACUAAAAGUUCAAAGUACAGGAAGAAAGUGUUAAAGAUCAUGAACGUCAAAGUGAGUCCUAUGCAUAUUAAGUAGCCAAGAUACAUUGAAUUACUACUCAGAAGCAUUUGAAAUAGGAAUUAUAUAUCGUGUAAAUAGUGCAUUCGACUUAUUUAUUCCCCUUCUAUUCGUUAAUUCCUUGUUUUAACUUUCAUUGAACCUCUUUAAGGUUAAAUUUUAGCAUCGCAAAUUUUUCUGUGUCGUGAAUUUUGUAAAUUCAUGUGUUCAGGACAUGUCAUUGUUUGGUAGUUUGUGUAGGAGUAACUAUUUCAAACGGUGUUGCAUGUGCCUCAUGAUUUUUCCCGAGUUUUGUAGCCAAAUUUUGAAAAUUUCUUUAUGGAGCUGGCUCUGCAAUUUAAAUCUAAUUUUGUGUUUUUCCUGUCAAUUAUAUUGGUGUUACACUAGGAUGAAUAGGAUCUGUUUUGCUGACUUUUUAGACUAGGGGGAUGUGUUAUCCAAAAAUACCGGAGAUUUCAAAAAAGGAAUUAAGGUAGGUGUUGGGAUUACAAUUCCCACCAUAAUUGCCAUGUUGGGCUUGAGUCAUUUUUCCCUUCUCAUUGCAUUGCCUCUGUUUAGUUUAUUUGGGCAGAUCAUUGUUCCUCUCUUUCUCUGCGAAAUCAUUCAAACUAAGAGACUUUUUUCCUUAAGUGUAAAAAGUAUAAUUGCCAUCACUACAUGAAAAUUUACCAUUAUAACAAAAUCUAGAUUUAGUAGACUUACCUUUUGUAGUGCCUCCAUUAUUUUAAUCAUUGCCUUCUGGUUUUAUGAAUGAUGCAUGUUGCCCCUGCAUUUGAUCUAUAUUAAUGGAAUUAAUUGAAUUCACACCUUUAUCAAAAUCAUUUUGUCCCUCCUUGGUAGUGAUUAUAUCAAAUGGGUUAACUAUAAAGGAGAAUUGAGAAUUACUCUCCACAUCAAUGAUCGACAUAGUUGUGGGCUUUUUUGCAUCAUACUGAUUUUUGUAGACUUGCACUGGUCUGUGAUGAACAUGUUUCGACCGCACUUCCAUUUCUUGUUUAACAAUUGUGUGAGCAAAUUGUUUCAAUCCAUUAGAAGUUGCGUGUUAUGUUCAUGGGGACGUUAUAGAUUAUUUUCAUGGCUGGUAUUGAGUUCUUUAAAUUAUGGUUGUUGGUAAAAGGUCGGUUGAGUCGGGUCCUAUAGAGUAGGAAGAGUUUAAGGAUGCUUUUCUAGGAAAGUAAUUUACUCGUGAGGGGAUGGAGGCAAAGGUAGAGGAGUUUAUUUAUCUCAAGCAAGGCAAUAUGAGUGUUGAGGAAUACUCUUUGAAGUUCUUUAGGUUGUAUGGAUAUGCCCCAUACUUAGUGUCUAACCUUAGUGAUGAGAUGAGUCGGUUUGUGACUGGGGACGUUGACCUUGUGAAAGAAGAAUGUUGUAUGGACACACUACAUGAUGAUAUGAACCUAGCUAUACUCAUAGUUUAUGCUCGAUCAAUUGAGAAGUCUAAA